rnacentral:rRNA from 1 species
UACGUAGGGUGCAAGCGUUAUCCGGAAUUAUUGGGCGUAAAGAGCUCGUAGGCGGUUUGUCGCGUCUGCUGUGAAAACUGGGGGCUCAACCCCCAGCCUGCAGUGGGUACGGGCAGACUAGAGUGCGGUAGGGGUGACUGGAAUUCCUGGUGUAGCGGUGGAAUGCGCAGAUAUCAGGAGGAACACCGGUGGCGAAGGCGGGUCUCUGGGCCGAUACUGACGCUGAGGAGCGAAAGCGUGGGGAGCGAACAGG